rnacentral:misc_RNA from 1 species
GUUGAAAGAGGCAUUCAGAGUUUUCGACAAGGAUCAAAAUGGCUUCAUCUCCGCUGCUGAGCUUCGUCAUGUGAUGACUAACCUUGGAGAGAAGCUUACUGAUGAAGAAGUCGAUGAGAUGAUUAGGGAAGCUGAUGUUGAUGGUGAUGGACAAAUCAACUAUGAGGAGUUUGUUAAGGUCAUGAUGGCCAAGUAAUUCCAUUAUCCUCUUGUUACAUUUGAAGUUUAGACUUGUCAAAAAUGUGAAAAAAUCCAAAAAUAAUUCAUUGGGUAGGCUCUUGUCUAGUAUAAUGUUAGUCUUACCAUCUCGAUGUAUUGAACCUUCAUUGAAUGUAAUGUUUUAUUGUAUGAGUGGUGUGAUC